ACGGUGAUCAGGUCCUUCUCGCAGAACCGCGAGGGGUGGAGCUCGCCGUUGGCGGCCGUGGUGAGGACCCUCUUGGCGACUUGGCUCACCGUGUUCUUCACGGCUUGCUUGAGAUUCUCCUCCAGGUGCCUCAGAUCGAUGGCUUGGCACAGGGCGACCAAGUAGGUGGUGGACAUGAGCUUCAGGAUGUCGACCGCCUCCGCCGUCUUCCUCGACGAGAUGAGUCCCAAGGAGUUUACAUCUUGGUUGUGCUGCUCGGCGCUCUGGACGUGGUUGGUCACCGGGUUGGCGAGGAACUGGAGCUCGGAGCAGUAGGCCGCCAUGGCAAUCUCGGCGCCCUUGAAGCCGUAGUCCAAGCUCGGGUUGCGCCCGCCGGAGAGGUUCGACGGCAGCCCGUUGUUGUAGAAGUCGUUGACGAGCUCCGAGAACUGCGCGAACAUGAGCUUCCCGAUGGCCGCGAGGGCCAGGCGGGCGUUGUCCAUGGACACGCCG
rnacentral:lncRNA from 1 species